AUUGAACGCUGGCGGAAUGCUUUACACAUGCAAGUCGAACGGCAGCACGGGGCAACCUGGUGGCGAGUGGCGAACGGGUGAGUAAUAUAUCGGAACGUGCCCAAUCGUGGGGGAUAACGUAGCGAAAGUUACGCUAAUACCGCAUACGAUCUACGGAUGAAAGCGGGGGAUCGCAAGACCUCGCGCGAAUGGAGCGGCCGAUAUCAGAUUAGGUAGUAGGUGGGGUAAAGGCUCACCAAGCCAACGAUCUGUAGCUGGUCUGAGAGGACGACCAGCCACACUGGAACUGAGACACGGUCCAGACUCCUACGGGAGGCAGCAGUGGGGAAUUUUGGACAAUGGGGGCAACCCUGAUCCAGCCAUGCCGCGUGAGUGAAGAAGGCCU
rnacentral:rRNA from 1 species